rnacentral:rRNA from 1 species
AUAGGGUGAAGCCAGAGGAAACUCUGGUGGAGGCUCGAAAAUGGAAUUAGACUGAAGGUCGGCGCCCUGGAGUUAUCUUUUCUUGUUUAUCCCGCUUCGGCCCCAAGGUGAACAGCCUCUAAUGUAGAUAAGGGAAGUCGGGGGAAUCUGACUGUUAACGAGAUUCCCACUGUCCCUAUCUACUCGGGGAACUGGCUUGUCGGCUCUUCCUAUCAUACCAUUCGGUAAGCGUUGGAUUGUUCACCCACUAAUAGGGAACGUGAGCUGAAUUGAACUUAGGAACAGUUCAUUCGGAUAAUUGGUUUUUGCGGCUGUCUGAUCAGGCAUUGCCGCGAAGCUACCAUCCGAAUCUAUAUAUUGUAAGCUGAGAUUAAGCCU